AAUAGAUACCCUGGUAGUCCACGCCGUAAACGAUGUCGACUUGGAGGUUGUUCCCUUGAGGAGUGGCUUCCGGAGCUAACGCGUUAAGUCGACCGCCUGGGGAGUACGGCCGCAAGGUUAAAACUCAAAUGAAUUGACGGGGGCCCGCACAAGCGGUGGAGCAUGUGGUUUAAUUCGAUGCAACGCGAAGAACCUUACCUACUCUUGACAUCCAGAGAACUUAGCAGAGAUGCUUUGGUGCCUUCGGGAACUCUGAGACAGGUGCUGCAUGGCUGUCGUCAGCUCGUGUUGUGAAAUGUUGGGUUAAGUCCCGCAACGAGCGCAACCCUUAUCCUUUGUUGCCAGCGGUUAGGCCGGGAACUCAAAGGAGACUGCCAGUGAUAAACUGGAGGAAGGUGGGGAUGACGUCAAGUCAUCAUGGCCCUUACGAGUAGGGCUACACACGUGCUACAAUGGCGCAUACAAAGAGAAGCGACCUCGCGAGAGCAAGCGGACCUCAUAAAGUGCGUCGUAGUCCGGA
rnacentral:rRNA from 1 species